rnacentral:sRNA from 1 species
ACAUGAUAAUCGAAUACAAUUAUUUGUUAAUAAUGAAACUGAUAACAUUCCAAAAUGUGGAAAUGAUUUCAUUAGCGAUAUUGACGAUUACAUAAUUAGAGGCCAAGUCAAUAGCUCCGGCAUAAAUUUAAGGACGAUAAGUAUUGAGCAAAAAAUGGAAAGUGUGAACAAAUAUGUGUGUUUGCUCAUUGUCUCAAAAGAUUGCAAUAACGAAUUACUUGAUAAAUGUUCAUGUUCCAAGUCAACAGACGAUUAUGUUGUCAAUUUUACGGUUACAUUAAAGCUACUUAUAAACGACAGCCUAUCUAGGGUAAACGCUGGAAUGUUAAUCUACAACAGCCCUACGAUUUACAGUAAUGACAUUCAAUUACCAAUGAUUCAUCAGCUAAGUGAGGUUUUUUUCUCGAUUAUCCUGAUAGUAAUCAAAGGAUGCAUAAAAUGAAGAGUAAUUUAUAUUACUUGUGGCUUGUCUCAUGCCGUUACCUCAAAAGAUACACCCAUUAGACGAUACACAAUUAAAUAGUUUUGAAAAUUUAAAAACAAACAAACAGAUUAAUUAAAAAUCGUUGAAGCUUCAGGGCGAAAAUGAAACCUACACGAAACAUGUCACAA